rnacentral:tRNA from 1 species
GAGGGUAUAGCUCAAAUGGUAGAGCACAUGCUUAGCAUGCAUGAGGUCCUGGGUUCAAUCCCCAGUCCCUUCU